UACGUAGGGUGCAAGCGUUAAUCGGAAUUACUGGGCGUAAAGCGCGCGUAGGCGGCUUUUCAAGUCGAUUGUGAAAUCCCCGGGCUUAACCUGGGAACUGCAGUCGAGACUGUCUAGCUAGAGUAUGGGAGAGGGAAGUGGAAUUUCAGGUGUAGCGGUGAAAUGCGUAGAUAUCUGAAGGAACAUCAGUGGCGAAAGCGACUUCCUGGACCAAUACUGACGCUCAUGUGCGAA
rnacentral:rRNA from 1 species